UACAGAGGUGGCAAGCGUUGUUCGGAAUUACUGGGCGUAAAGGGCGCGUAGGCGGUCUUUUAAGUCUUGUGUGAAAUCCCUCGGCUCAACUGAGGAACUGCACGGGAUACUGGAAGACUUGAGUUCGGGAGAGGGAAGCGGAAUUCCGGGUGUAGCGGUGAAAUGCGUAGAUAUCGGAAGGAACACCUGUGGCGAAAGCGGCUCACUGGACCAUUACUGACGCUGAGGCACGAAAGCUAGGGGAGCAAACAGG
rnacentral:rRNA from 1 species